rnacentral:lncRNA from 1 species
AUGGCCAACAUCCGUUGUAUCAUGGAAAAAGCAAGAGAGUUCCAGAAAAACAUCUAUUUCUGCUUCAUUGACUAUGCCAAAGCCUUUGACUGUGUGGAUCACAAUAAACUGUGGAAAAAUCUGAAAGAGAUGGGAAUACCAGACCACCUGACCUGCCUCUUGAGAAAUCUGUAUGUAGGUCAGGAAGCAACAGUUAGAACUGGACAUGGAACAACAGACUGGUUCCAAAUAGGAAAAGGAGUACAUCAAGGCUGUAUAUUGUCACCCUGCUUAUUUAACUUCUAUGCAGAGUACAUCAUGAGAAACGCUGGACUAGAAGAAACACAAGCUGGAAUCAAGAUUGCUGGGAGAAAUAUCAAUAACCUCAGAUAUGCAGAUGACACCACCCUUAUGGCAGAAAGUGAAGAGGAACUCAAAAGCCUCUUGAUGAAAGUGAAAGAGGAGAGUGAAAAAGUUGGCUUAAAGCUCAACAUUCAGAAAACAAAGAUCAUGGCAUCCGGUCCCAUCACUUCAUGGGAAAUAGAUGGGGAAACAAUGGAAACAGUGUCAGACUUUAUUUUGGGGGGCUCCAAAAUCACUGCAGAUGGUGAGUGCAGCCAUGAAAUAAAAAGAUGCUUACUCCUUGGAAGAAAAGUUAUGACCAACCUAGAUAGCCUAUUCCAAAGCAGAGACAUUACUUUGCCGACUAAGGUCCAUCUAGUCAAGGCUAUGGUUUUUCCUGUGGUCAUGUAUGGAUGUGAAAGUUGGACUGUGAAGAAGGCUGAGUGCCGAAAAACUGAUGCUUUUGAACUGUGGUGUUGGAGAAGACUCUUGAGAGUCCCUUGGACUGGAAGGAGAUCCCUCCAGUCCAUUCUGAAGGAGAUCAACCGUGGGAUUUCUUUGAAAGGAAUGAAGCUAAAGCUGAAACUCCAGUACUUUGGCCACCUCAUGCGAAAAUCUGACUCUUUGGAAAAGACUUUGAUGCUGGGAGGGAGUGGGGGCAGGAGGAAAAGGGGACAACCGAGGAUGAGAUGGCUGGAUGGCGUCAUUGAUUCGAUGGACGCGAGUCUGAGUGAACCCCGGGAGUUGGUGAUGGACAGGGAGGCCUGGCGUGCUGCGAUUCAUGGGGUCACAAAGAGUUGGACACGACUGAGCGACUGA